AGAGGGUGUCAACCCCAGCAUACUUGCAGGACUUAACAUAAACAACUCCUUGAACUGCGACAAAGCUUCUAGGAAAGGGGUGAACCGGAACAACCGGAGGUUUAACAGGAGGGUGAACCGGAACAACCGGAGGUUUAACAGGAGGGUGAGCCGGAACAGGAGGUUUAACUGGAGGGUGAACCGGAACAGGAGGUUUAACUGGAGGGUGAACCGGAACAGGAGGUUUAACUGGAGGAUGAACCGGAACAGGAGGUGGAUUAACAGGAGCAGGAGGGUGAUGGUGAUGGUGGUGAGUAGGAGGCUUAGCAGGGGCAGGGGUAGGAGGGUAAUUGUGGUGAGAAGGUGAAGGAACAGGUGCUGGUGCUGGUGCUGGUGCUGGAGGGUGGUGGUGGUGGUGGUGGUGGUGUGGGUGAGGAGCAUUUGCUGGUGGGUGAAGAGGUGCUGGUGUGGGGGAGUGAACAGGGUGAGGGUGAGGGUAAGAGGGUGGAAGAGUUUCAAGUUCAAGCUCUACAGCAAACACAUUACUCACAGCUACGAGGAGAAACAGCAGCACUGAUGCCAAGGCUUUGGCCAUUGCUUCAAGCAAGUGAAGCAGAGAGAGAGAGAGAGAGAGAGAGAGAGAGAGGAGAGGAGA
rnacentral:lncRNA from 1 species